GUACGGCCGCAAGGUUAAAACUCAAAUGAAUUGACGGGGGCCCGCACAAGCGGUGGAGCAUGUGGUUUAAUUCGAUGCAACGCGAAGAACCUUACCUGGUCUUGACAUCCACGGAAGUUUUCAGAGAUGAGAAUGUGCCUUCGGGAACCGUGAGACAGGUGCUGCAUGGCUGUCGUCAGCUCGUGUUGUGAAAUGUUGGGUUAAGUCCCGCAACGAGCGCAACCCUUAUCCUUUGUUGCCAGCGGUCCGGCCGGGAACUCAAAGGAGACUGCCAGUGAUAAACUGGAGGAAGGUGGGGAUGACGUCAAGUCAUCAUGGCCCUUACGACCAGGGCUACACACGUGCUACAAUGGCGCAUACAAAGAGAAGCGACCUCGCGAGAGCAAGCGGACCUCAUAAAGUGCGUCGUAGUCCGGAUUGGAGUCUGCAACUCGACUCCAUGAAGUCGGAAUCGCUAGUAAUCGUGGAUCAGAAUGCCACGGUGAAUACGUUCCCGGGCCUUGUACACACCGCCCGUCACACCAUGGGAGUGGGUUGCAAAAGAAGUAGGUAGCUUAACCUUCGGGAGGGCGCUUACCACUUUGUGAUUCAUGACUGGGGUGAAGUCGUAACAAGGUAACCGUAGGGGAACCUGCGGUUGGAUCACCUCCUUACCUUAAAGAAGC
rnacentral:rRNA from 2 species